GGAGGGAUCGCAUAGUGGUCUAGUGCGGCCGCCUGCUAAGCGGUUGCCCCGCGAAAACGGGGUCAUGGGUUCGAAUCCCAUUCCCUCCGCCA
rnacentral:tRNA from 1 species